CGGAGAUGAUGUCAAUCUUUUGCCCUGACCUGAAGCCAUGAGGCAAAAACUGAUUUAAUGAGCCUGAUCC
rnacentral:snoRNA from 1 species